rnacentral:rRNA from 1 species
UACGAAGGGGGCUAGCGUUGUUCGGAGUUACUGGGCGUAAAGGGUGUGUAGGCGGUUUUCUAAGUCUGGUGUGAAAUCUCCCGGCUCAACUGGGAGGGUGCGCCGAAAACUGGAAGGCUAGAGUGCGGGAUGGGAGAGUGGAAUUCCUGGUGUAGCGGUGAAAUGCGUAGAUAUCAGGAAGAACACCCAGUGGCGAAGGCGGCUC